rnacentral:rRNA from 1 species
UACGUAGGGUGCGAGCGUUAAUCGGAAUUACUGGGCGUAAAGCGUGCGCAGGCGGUUCGUUGUGUCUGCUGUGAAAUCCCCGGGCUCAACCUGGGAAUGGCAGUGGAAACUGGCGAGCUUGAGUGUGUCAGAGGGGGGUAGAAUUCCACGUGUAGCAGUGAAAUGCGUAGAGAUGUGGAGGAAUACCGAUGGCGAAGGCAGCCCCCUGGGAUAACACUGACGCUCAUGUACGAAAGCGUGGGUAGCAAACAGG